UACGUAGGGUGCGAGCGUUGUCCGGAUUUAUUGGGCGUAAAGGGCUCGUAGGCGGCUUGUCGCGUCGGGAGUGAAAGCCCGCUGCUUAACGGCGGGUUUGCUUUCGGUACGGGCAGGCUGGAGUACGGCAGGGGAGACUGGAAUUCCUGGUGUAGCGGUGGAAUGCGCAGAUAUCGGUAGGAACACCAGUGGCGAAGGCGGUCUCUUGGGGCAUUCUUGACGCUGAGGCGCGGAAAGCUGGGGGGAGCGAACGGG
rnacentral:rRNA from 1 species